AUGGCUUUCGCGCUCAAGGCAUCCCUCUCGCCGUCUUCCUCGCCUCCGUCGAGCCUCACAGCGGCCACAGUGGCCACACCGCCGGUAAAGCCUGUAUUCGUCAGAGCCCCGCUCAAGGCAUCCCUCUCGCCGUCUUCCUCGCCUCCGUCGACCCUCACAGCGGCCACAAUGGCCACACCGCCGGUAAAGCCUGUAUUCGUCAGAGCCCUCGCCGCGGCCUCAGUCGACCCGGCAAUGGCCACGCCAGCCGCGCCGGGGAGGCAUGCGGUCAGGGCGCGCGCAACCGCGCUGGCCCCGGCAACGGCGCCCGUGCCCGCCGGUAACGGCGGCCUGUCGGUAGCGAAGGCCAUGUCCCGGGCCAGAGACAACGGCAUGACGGCGUUCAUCCCGUACAUCACCGCCGGCGACCCCGACCUGGCGACCACAGCGGAGGCGCUCAGGCUAUUGGACGCCUGUGGCGCCGACGUCAUCGAGGUGGGCAUGCCGUUUUCCAACCCCUACGCCGACGGGGCCGUCAUCCAGGCGUCCGCGGCGCGGGCGCUCGCGGCCGGCGCGACGUCGGACACCGUGAUGGCGAUGCUGAAGGAGGUGACGCCGGAGCUAUCCUGCCCGGUGGUCAUCUUCUCCUACUUCAACCCCAUCGAGCGGCGGGGGACGGGGAGCUUCACCGCCGCAGCCAGAGAGGCCGGUGUACGAGGUCUUAUAGUACCCGAUCUUCCUUAUACCGAGGCAAGUGAUCUGAGCAUUGAAGCCAAGAAGAACGAGAUCGAGCUGGCUAGGCUGAUGAAGAGAUGGGUGCAGGUGCUGCUUACAACACCAUCUACAAAGGCAGAGAGGAUGAACGAGAUCACAUCAGCUUCCGAAGGGUUUGUGUACCUUGUAAGUAUCAACGGAUUAACAGGGACCCGCCCAGAUGUGAAUCCACGCGUUAAGGAUCUUCUCAGGGAGAUUAAGCAGGUCACCGACAAAGCAGUUGCUGUUGGAUUUGGCAUAUCCACCCCUGACCAUGUUAGGCAGGUUGCUCAGUGGGGUGCAGACGGUGUGAUAAUCGGCAGUGCGAUGGUGAAGCAGCUAGGUGAAGCAAAUUCUCCGAGAGAAGGAUUAAAGAGGCUGGAAGUAUAUGCCAAGAGUCUCAAGGAUGCACUGCAUGCCGUGAUAUGUACAAUAUAG
rnacentral:rRNA from 1 species